rnacentral:misc_RNA from 1 species
UUUCCGUAGGUGAACCUGCGGAAGGAUCAUUAACGAGUUAGGGUCUUCUAGGCCCGACCUCCCAACCCUUUGUUUACUGAACCAUUGUUGCCUCGGUGGGUCCGUCUUACGACCGCCGGGGGAUCGCCGCGAGGCGCCCCCUGGCCAGCGCCCACCGAUAGCCCAACCUUUAAAACCCUUUGUGAAUCGUGUCUUAUGUCUUAAUUUAUGAUUAAACAAUCAAAACAAAACUUUCAACAACGGAUCUCUUGGUUCUG